UACACAAAAUAAAAGGGUAUAUGUACGUGUGGGUGUUUGUGGGAAGGCAAUAUGGAGAAGUAGCUUGCUUAAAAGCCUAUGGAAGUACAUGAGUGAUGGAGAAAAGCUGAGAAGAAAGCCUUGAUGAAGAAGCUGUCAUUGGCUGAGCAUCAGAUUAAGAAAGGAAGGACAGUGCUGGGUGUGAGCCUG